rnacentral:rRNA from 1 species
UGGGGAAUUUUGGACAAUGGGCGAAAGCCUGAUCCAGCAAUGCCGCGUGUGUGAAGAAGGCCUUCGGGUUGUAAAGCACUUUUGUCCGGAAAGAAAUCCUUGGCUCUAAUACAGUCGGGGGAUGACGGUACCGGAAGAAUAAGCACCGGCUAACUACGUGCCAGCAGCCGCGGUAAUACGUAGGGUGCAAGCGUUAAUCGGAAUUACUGGGCGUAAAGCGUGCGCAGGCGGUUUGCUAAGACCGAUGUGAAAUCCCCGGGCUCAACCUGGGAACUGCAUUGGUGACUGGCAGGCUAGAGUAUGGCAGAGGGGGGUAGAAUUCCACGUGUAGCAGUGAAAUGCGUAGAGAUGUGGAGGAAUACCGAUGGCGAAGGCAGCCCCCUGGGCCAAUACUGACGCUCAUGCACGAAAAGCGUGGGGAGCAAAACAGGAUUAGAUACCCUGGUAGUCCACGCCCUAAAACGAUGUCAACUAGUUGUUGGGGAUUCAUUUCCUUAGUAACGUAGCUAACGCGUGAAGUUGACCGCCUGGGGGAGUACGGUCGCAAGAUUAAAAACUCAAAUGAAUUGACGGGGUCAUAGCUGUUUCCU